UAUAUCAUUUGAAUCCAAAUAAGCGCAAAAAAUGCCAUUAACAUAUUCUGUGCUAUUAUCAGUUCUUAAAUUUCUAACCUUAACAUCAACUUGUGUGUAAAUCAUUUUUGUGAAAUUGCUGAAAACAAGAAAACACUUCACUUUUUGAUUUCAUCAAAUAGACCCAUGUCAACCUAGUGCAAUGGUUAAUAAAAUUGACAAACCAUUUAUAACCAGACAAACUGUUUGCGUAGGUCCCCAGACAUCUAAAUGAAUAAUCAUAAAAUGGACCAAGCUUUUAUUAUUUAUGAAAGAAUCACAAACUAGUGAAUUUGAGUUGUAAUUCUUAAACAAAUUAGGAUAUA
rnacentral:misc_RNA from 1 species